rnacentral:lncRNA from 1 species
CAGGAGUCAAAUUCCAACUAAUCUAGUUUUCAGGGAUUCUGAGACUCUGCUUAAUGUGCUCCUAACUUGCUAAAUAAGGUCAUCAAUAGGGUUUACAGAGGUCUCUGACUUUGUUGUUCUUACUUAGAUCAAUGUCAUCAGGGCAAAUUAGUAAGAAUUAAUCUACUAGGGAUUCAUCAUUGACUUAUGGAUCAAACCAAAAGCUGAAUAGGAGCCAUCGUCUAGUUUAUAUUGAAUAAGAUCCUUCACAUUCUCUUUAAUUUUCAUAAAAUGUCUUCAAGAUUAGAUGAAUCAUGAGGUCUUGUAUACUAUCCAAGUUGCUCAUAAAGACACUUGCAAUGUAAGAAUUUCCUAAACAAAUUUAACUAUAGCAGGUGGGUCUAAGUUAGUUAAAGGAGGAAGAGGGGUAACCCUCCUAAGGUCACCAACACCCAUCUUGGAGCAGUGUACAAGGGAUGGACCUCCAUAUGGGCAAAAGGACUAGCACCAUUUGUUGAUAUGACAUGAUUAUUAAGUCACCUUUAUGAGAUUCAAAAUAAGUAAAACAUAAAUAAAAAGCAUAUAUGACUCAACAGAAGGCUAUAAGGAAGGAACUCAAGGAAAAUAAGCUCGAAAAUCUAAAAGGGCCUAAGCAGCUACACAUGAAUGGGGAAAAGACCUUGAGGCAUGAUCACCCUUAACUAAGGAGGGACUGCAAAGAGAGGGGAUAGUGUCAAAGGCAUCUAAGUUUUCGAACUCCUCCCAGAAGGAACAUUGUGUUAUCAUCUUAUCCCUUGCCAAUGAGUCGUCAUCUAUGUCCUUUUGGUACAUUCAAUAAAUUAUCCAGCUCUAUAUGCAUGCUCCAUAGCUGUACAGUCCUUUCCAUCCCCAAGAUAAAAAAAACCAAUAAAUAAUAAGAGGAUCUCGAGAGCUAUAUUCUGUUUGGCGCCUACUCUAUCCUCCAACUUUGGCAUGUCAUCAUCAUCCUCAGGGUCAUCCAUGGAUCGAGGCUGUAAGAAAGUAAGGAAUAACAAAAUGAAAAUAAUUGAAGAAUUAGAGGAAUGAAGUAAUAGCAAACAAGCUACAAAUAAAAUUCUUACUUGCUUAGCCUUUUUCUUAACAUGACGAGGGUGAGACUUCCUCAAACCUAGGAGCUGUAGUUGUCUUGCUAGUCUCUUUAGUAGAAACAAUUGACGCACUAGGUGAAACUGGAGAGCCAUCAACCCAUGGAGGCGGUCAAUCCGUAGCACUAAUAGCGCUUGAUCUUCUUAAGUAGACCUCGCUCAGUAGCUUGAUAAAGGGAUGAUGCUAAGAAAUGAUUGGGCAUCUAGGUAUGGUUUACACUGGUUCUCGUGAGUAGGCCUUGAACAGGGACAAUUGUCAUACCCACCAAGUCAUACAACGUAUUGAGUGACAUAGCUCCCUUAUUUAGAAAGGAAGAGAGCUGAAGUGGUGACAAUAAAAGGAGUCAAUUGCUUUAACGCAAAAGGCCUUGCAACACUUUUAAUUCAACAUAGUAUCAGAAGAGUAAGCAGUCCUCUCAGGUCGACCUUGAUGUAACCUAUUUGCUGGGCCACAAACAAAAUACGAUUAACUCAUAAAGCCUGGAAAAGCCUGGAGUGCCACUUUUAAGAUGGGAUGGAGCCAACUAGUCUAAAACCGAGCAAAUACAUUGGUCGCUAAAAUCUUCACUAAUUCCAAGAUCAAUUGAUAUUUACUAAAAAUUUAUGUAAAUUAAAAUAAUUAAAUUGUAAAGAUUAUUAAUUAAAAGGAUGGAAUUUUAAUAGUUAAAAACACUAGGGAUUCAAAUUUAAUCUAAUGACAAAUAUCACUUUUUAAAGCUAUUAGAUUGUAUUCAAUUAAGAGAUUACUGAUUCUCAAGGGUAAUAAACAUAAUCAAACCCAUUAAAAAGCGCUUAAUUCCACCUACUGCCUUGACCAUGCACUCAAUCUAAGCAACUAAUGGACAUCUUCUAGUAUGAUGCUAAACUCCCUUGAGCAGUGAUGUAACUAUGGGAUGCCUUGCUCUAGCAGCUCAGCAAAAAAUGACAUCCCCUGCUCGAGUAGUCUUUAUGGAUAGUCAGUUCCCCGCUUAAUAUGAUGACAUUCAAUAUGCCCGCCUUAUCUAAGGGUUCGGUUAUGCUAAGCAUCUCAAAUUAUGGCUUCAACCCACUUGACCCAUCUAUUGAUGUGAAUAAAAAUGGAGAAAAGGGAAUGACAACUUUGUCAAACUUCAAUCGGAGAAUGUAAAAAGUAUGAAUAUCCUCAUAGUUGCGGAGCAGUGAGUCAGGCAAAUAAACCUCAUCUGCUCUACCGCAGGAAGGAUUUCUUAAGGAACCUUGCCCUCUAAAAAGGGUCUAUGAAAGAUAUCAUACCAUUCCAUAAGGAAAUGGGUGGCAUGGGAUGUACCUCGCCGCCCUUAGGAGCUGAAGGUAUUACAUCAUUAUCCUUGCUCGCUUCCUCAUUUUCUUUGUUGCUAGGAGUUUUCUUCAGCUAUUAUUAUCAUGAAAAGCAUUGGUCUUCUAGGAUUCAUGAGUUGGAGAUAUCAUUUGCUUUGUUUACUACAAAAUGUUAGAGAACAAUAGUGGUUAGUCAUUAUAAUACCAAAGAGAUAAUAAAUAAUAAGUAAAGAUAGAGUACAAAUAAAUACUUAGAAUUAUGGGACAUUCCUUUGAAAAGGAGUACUAUGCGACACCAGGUGUCAUAUAAUAGAUAUCCCCUAAUCAAAGGUGGCGUAACACCCUUAAGGGAAGGGUGUCGUAGUACCUUUUUGUGCAAAUGGUGUUAAGUGGCAACCCCAUUCAAGGGGGUGUAAAGACAACCCAUUCAAGGGCGUGACACCAUCCUU